CACAGUCUUGGUUCACCGCAACCUCUGCCUCCCAGGAGAAGCACUUGAACCUGGGAGGUGGGGAGGCUGUAGUGAGCCAAGAUGGCACCACUGCACUCCAGCCUGGGCAACAGAAUGAGACUCCAUCUUAAAUAAAUAAAUAAAUCUUGUCUGACUCAAAAGCUGGGAAAGCCCCAAACAGACCCAGUGUUCAUUCUUCCUCCCUCUCUGCUCUUCUGUCUCCACAAGUCUCUCACUCUAUAGACAUUCACGCCUUGCCUUGGAUUUGAUGACAAGCAGGUAAGCUUCAGGCAAGCACAGUUCCCAGAUCCUCCCCCAGCUGUGACCCAGACUCCAUGCUGGGCAAGGUCUUUGACACCUCCCUUUCCAAGCCCCUUCUGAUGUCUGCCAUCCAUCCUUGGUCAAACAAGAAGUGGAAAGUUGGACAUGGUAAUCCCAGCAUUUUGGGAGGCCGAGGUGGGAGGAUCACUUCAGCUCAGGAGUUCGAGACCAGCCUCGGCAUCAUAGUGACACCCUG
rnacentral:lncRNA from 10 species